rnacentral:snRNA from 1 species
GGAUGUGAGGAUGAUCUGGCUGCGACAUCUGUCACCCUACUGAUCUGCCAGGGUUGAUUUGGCUGAUCUGACUGGCUAGGCGGGUGUCCCCUUCCUCCCCCAGUCCUCC